UACGAGGAGUCCGAGCGUUAUCCGGAUUUAUUGGGCGUAAAGGGUGCGUAGGAGGUUUUGUGCGUCUAUUGUGAAAUUUCACUGCUCAACGGUGAAUCUGCGAUGGAUACGGCAAGACUAGAGGAUACUAGAGGUGAGCAGAACGCACGGUGUAGGGGUGAAAUCCGUUGAUAUCGUGCGGAAUACCAAAGGCGAAGGCAGCUCACUGGGGUACUCCUGACUCUGAAGCACGAAAGCGUGGGGAGCAAAAAGG
rnacentral:rRNA from 1 species